UCCGAGUUGACCCCGGCAGUCUCCCAUGAGUCCCCGGCAUAACCCGCUGGCAACAUGGAACGAGGGUUGCGCUCGUUGCGGGACUUAACCCAACAUCUCACGACACGAGCUGACGACAACCAUGCACCACCUGUGCACGACCCUUUAAAGGACCUCCCAUCUCUGGGAGAUUUCCGUGCAUGUCAAGCCUAGGUAAGGUUCUUCGCGUUGCAUCGAAUUAAGCAACAUGCUCCGCCGCUUGUGCGGGCCCCCGUCAAUUCCUUUGAGUUUUAGCCUUGCGGCCGUACUCCCCAGGCGGGGCGCUUAAUGCGUUAGCUGCGGCACGGAGACCGUGGAAUGGCCCCCACACCUAGCGCCCAACGUUUACGGCGUGGACUAC
rnacentral:misc_RNA from 1 species